GAGAAAAAUUAAAUGAAAAUUCAGAACUCACUUUUUAUUAAAAGAAUGAAAGCAAACAGUGGUUGAAUUAUGAUCAUGAAGAAAGAAAAGAAUAUACUCUGAUGCGGAACAUGUAAGAAGAGUUUGUAUCAUGCAUUUUCUUGGCGGGAGGGAGUGAAAUGUAAGGCCCCUGCUGGAGAUAUUAGAUGGCAUAACAAGUAAAGAGGAACCUAAACAUGACAACAGUCUAUAAAUUAUACAAAAAGAAAUCCGCAGUACAAUUCCUUUCUGUGUACACAUUGCUCACUUUCUGUG